UACAGAGGUCUCAAGCGUUGUUCGGAUUCAUUGGGCGUAAAGGGUGUGUAGGUGGCGCCGUAAGUCGGGUGUGAAAUUUCGGAGCCUAACUCCGAAACUGCAUUCGAUACUGCGGUGCUUGAGGACUGGAGAGGAGACUGGAAUUCAUGGUGUAGCAGUGAAAUGCGUAGAGAUCAUGAGGAAGACCAGUGGCGAAAGGCGGGUCUCUGGACAGUUCCUGACACUGAGACACGAAGGCCAGGGGAGCAAACGGG
rnacentral:rRNA from 1 species